CACACUCAUCUCCAAGUCCAUCAUUGUCUGAGUCCAGCUGGGAGCUAUUGGGCAGCUGCGGGCAAUUGUCCUUGGUGUCCUGAUGUCCAUCCCCAUCGCUGGCCAGAAGAACAGGCACCAAAUAAAGGCUUGUAAAGGCUGGUGAAAGCCCUGAGCCUCGUCUCCCAUCCAGAGGACAGCCGGUUGGAAAGGCCGCCUGUAGUGUGUCUUGCCCUCUCGCCCGCUCCCUGCCUGACCCCAUGUCCUACCUCUCACAUUCCCCCGGCACCUGCCACAGGUGAUCUCUCAGCCGGCCUGACUACCACAAGCAUUGCCCUUCCCAGAUUCUCAGCCUCCCUGCUUCAUUCCCACCACAUCAAACUCUUACAGGUUGCCCAGCCACCCCCUCAGCCCCAGGCCUGCACCAUCCCCAUCCACGUCGUUGUCACAGGCAUCCCCUUCCCCAUUGCCAUCUGUGUCCUUCUGGUCAUUGUUGGGAACGUUGGGGCAGUUGUCACAGGCAUCACCAAAUGAAUCUGUAUCUGA